rnacentral:pre_miRNA from 1 species
CUGCCAGUGUCAUUUUUGUGAUGUGCAGCUCCGUUACCGAAUACAGUUGCAUAGUCACAAAAGUGAUCAUUGGAGG